AGUGAACGCUGGCGGUAGGUCUAACACAUGCAAGUCGAACGGCAGCACAGUAAGAGCUUGCUCUUACGGGUGGCGAGUGGCGGACGGGUGAGGAAUACAUCGGAAUCUACUUUUUCGUGGGGGAUAACGUAGGGAAACUUACGCUAAUACCGCAUACGACCUACGGGUGAAAGCAGGGGAUCUUCGGACCUUGCGCGAUUGAAUGAGCCGAUGUCGGAUUAGCUAGUUGGCGGGGUAAAGGCCCACCAAGGCGACGAUCCGUAGCUGGUCUGAGAGGAUGAUCAGCCACACUGGAACUGAGACACGGUCCAGACUCCUACGGGAGGCAGCAGUGGGGAAUAUUGGACAAAGGGCGCAAGCCUGAUCCAGCCAUACCGCGUGGGUGAAGAAGGCCUUCGGGUUGUAAAGCCCUUUUGUUGGGAAAGAAAAGCAGCAGGUUAAUACCCCGCUGUUCUGACGGUACCCAAAGAAUAAGCACCGGCUAACUUCGUG
rnacentral:rRNA from 1 species